rnacentral:rRNA from 1 species
CUCGUAGGCGGCCAACUAAGUCGGACGUGAAAUCCCUCGGCUUAACCGGGGAACUGCGUCCGAUACUGGUUGGCUUGAGUUUGGGAGAGGGAUGCGGAAUUCCAGGUGUAGCGGUGAAAUGCGUAGAUAUCUGGAGGAACACCGGUGGCGAAGGCGGCAUCCUGGACCAAUACUGACGCUGAGGAGCGAAAGCCAGGGGAGCAAACG